GGGCGCAAGCCGUGAUCCAGCCAUACCGCGUGGGUGAAGAAGGCCUUCGGGUUGUAAAGCCCUUUUGUUGGGAAAGAAAUCCAGCUGGCUAAUACCCGGUUGGGAUGACGGUACCCAAAGAAUAAGCACCGGCUAACUUCGUGCCAGCAGCCGCGGUAAUACGAAGGGUGCAAGCGUUACUCGGAAUUACUGGGCGUAAAGCGUGCGUAGGUGGUCGUUUAAGUCCGUUGUGAAAGCCCUGGGCUCAACCUGGGAACUGCAGUGGAUACUGGGCGACUAGAAUGUGGUAGAGGGUAGCGGAAUUCCUGGUGUAGCAGUGAAAUGCGUAGAGAUCAGGAGGAACAUCCAUGGCGAAGGCAGCUACCUGGACCAACAUUGACACUGAGGCACGAAAGCGUGGGGAGCAAACAGGAUUAGAUACCCUGGUAGUCCACGCCCUAAACGAUGCGAACUGGAUGUUGGGUGCAAUUUGGCACGCAGUAUCGAAGCUAACGCGUUAAGUUCGCCGCCUGGGGAG
rnacentral:rRNA from 1 species